rnacentral:tRNA from 1 species
ACUUAGGUAGCUUAAAUUUAAAGCUUAAUAUUGAAGCUAUUAGGAUAAGAUAUCUUUCUAAGUA